ACACGGGGGGCGCCUAUCCCGCUGUGCCACCGAUCACUUAAUUCGGCUCUCUCGACUGGUGCAUAAUAUGCUUAAUUAUGUUGUGAUUUUUCUGUACCAAUGAAUGAUCCGGGUGAGUGGUUAAAAUAUUUGUUGGCACACGUGGCUGUGUUAGUGAGAGGUCAAUCCGCAUCCUUUUCCACUAAUUAGCGUGAUUUUGAUAAGUUCAGAUUCUGAAAAGGAGAAGAAAGCCUCAGGGGCAGAGUAUUCAGGAGGACACCAAUCCAAAUCUAUGGUGUUUGAGGCAGCUUGAAAGAAGGUUUGCUGCAGGGAAGAGAUAGAAAGAGCGAAAUAGAGAGGGCAGGGGCGUGAUCUGUUGUAAGUAUGAAGUGAAGUAAUCCUUCCUGUCCUGCUGUUUGUUUUCGCAAGUCUGUUUUGCACAACUUUGUUUGCAGUGCGUGCAGUAACCGAUCGAUUGCGUUUUGAGGGUUCUAGGUGUCGAAUAUGACCGGGCCAUUAAAAUAAAAGUUGUAUAUCUUUUCAAGACCUUCCCAACGAAUAUUUAUUUGCAAUUUUUCGUCAGGUAUUCUAGGAGAUAAUGCCUAUCUGAAGUUACUGUCAGUUUUUGUCAGACUGCAGUUUUAGGCAUGACUUCCUAUUUUGCGAGGCGUUUCAAAGUAACUUCAAGGCUGAAUCUGUCCAUGGGGCUAUGGAUGUAUUUUCAGUAUUUGGUUUGAAAUUUCCAUGGAGAAUUUUUUCUCAAAUUUUCGCUGAGUAUAGUGAAAGAUACAACCUUCUGAAUGCUGCUGUCCAUUGCGAGUUCUGUUCUGAACUUCUGACAGUUACUGUUUUCUGUAUUGAGAUUUGAGAGGCAUUUUAAAAUAUCUGUCUAGAGUACAAUUAACAUAGAUAUAAUUCAUUGUUUGAUCUUUCCACAGAGUAUGUAAGUACUAUUUUUUAUUGCGUCUACAAGGAGUAAUUUAACAUUGCUAUCCGUUUCAGUUAACUUUGUAAGAUCUUCCUGAAACUGUAUAGUUUCGGUUGUGAGUUUCAAAUUGGUUUGCCAUUUUGACGGUACUUAGAGGCCGAAUGUGUUGUCUUGAACGAAACUGUUGCAUCUUGCUUUAGAUGUUUUUUGAUAAGGUAACAGCUGCCUAAACUGAAGAAUCAUUAACUCCCUCGUCGUGUAACUUCCCUGCUGCAGGUGAUUGGAUCAGCGAACCUUCUCUGUAGUUUAGGAUUUGAUCAGUUCGAGGAACGUGGUAUGUCCCUAGCAAAAUUCUUUCACCUUAUUAAUCUUCUGCGUUCUUUAGCAGUGCGCUGGUCCAUGCAGUAUCAUCAGAGUCAUGGAUCUUUGACAGAAUGUAACGCAUGGGCAGUAUAGUAUUCUCUCAUGUUAUGUGAACCCUCAGAUACCUUUUCAUGAGACUGAACCCAACUGUUCCCGAAUUUCUUAUGUGUUUGUGUAUACGAUGGUACAUAAGUGAGUUUCACCAUUAUUGGUCUAUUUCUUGAUGUUUUUU
rnacentral:lncRNA from 1 species